AGAGUUUGUUCCUGGCUCAGGAUGAACGCUAGCGGCAGGCUUAACACAUGCAAGUCGAGGGGCAGCGGGGAGGAAGCUUGCUUUCUCCGCCGGCGACCGGCGCACGGGUGAGUAACACGUAUGCAACCUGCCCCUGUCAGGGGGACAACCCGCCGAAAGGCGGGCUAAACCCGCGUACAUGCCACCGGGGCAUCCCGGAGGCAGGAAAGGCUUCGGCCGGACAGGGAUGGGCAUGCGGCGCAUUAGGCAGUAGGCGGGGUAACGGCCCACCUAACCGACGAUGCGUAGGGGUUCUGAGAGGAAGGUCCCCCACACUGGUACUGAGACACGGACCAGACUCCUACGGGAGGCAGCAGUGAGGAAUAUUGGUCAAUGGUCGGGAGACUGAACCAGCCAAGCCGCGUGAGGGAGGAAGGUACAGAGUAUCGUAAACCUCUUUUGUCAGGGAACAAAGGCGGGGACGUGUCCCCGGAUGAGUGUACCUGAAGAAAAAGCAUCGGCUAACUCCGUGCCAGCAGCCGCGGUAAUACGGAGGAUGCGAGCGUUAUCCGGAUUUAUUGGGUUUAAAGGGUGCGCAGGCGGUCUGUUAAGUCAGCGGUCAAAGCCCGGGGCUCAACCCCGGCCCGCCGUUGAAACUGGCAGUCUCGAGUUGGAGAGAAGUAUGCGGAAUGCGCGGUGUAGCGGUGAAAUGCAUAGAUAUCGCGCAGAACUCCGAUUGCGAAGGCAGCAUGCCGGCUCCACACUGACGCUGAGGCACGAAAGCGUGGGUAUCGAACAGGAUUAGAUACCCUGGUAGUCCACGCAGUAAACGAUGAAUGCUGGCUGUCCGGGGGGACUGACCCCUGGGUGGCGAAGCGAAAGCGAUAAGCAUUCCACCUGGGGAGUACGCCGGCAACGGUGAAACUCGAAGGAAUUGACGGGGGCCCGCACAAGCGGAGGAACAUGUGGUUUAAUUCGAUGAUACGCGAGGAACCUUACCCGGGCUCAAACGGGGAGUGACUCAGGCAGAGACGCCUGUUUCCCACGGGACACUCCCCGAGGUGCUGCAUGGUUGUCGUCAGCUCGUGCCGUGAGGUGUCGGCUUAAGUGCCAUAACGAGCGCAACCCCCGCGUGCAGUUGCUAACAGAUAACGCUGAGGACUCUGCACGGACUGCCGGCGCAAGCCGCGAGGAAGGCGGGGAUGACGUCAAAUCAGCACGGCCCUUACGUCCGGGGCGACACGCGUGUUACAAUGGGUGGUACAGCGGGAAGCCAGGCGGCGACGCCGAGCGGAACCCGAAAUCCACUCUCAGUUCGGAUCGGAGUCUGCAACCCGACUCCGUGAAGCUGGAUUCGCUAGUAAUCGCGCAUCAGCCAUGGCGCGGUGAAUACGUUCCCGGGCCUUGCACUCACCGCCCGUCAAG
rnacentral:rRNA from 1 species